rnacentral:lncRNA from 1 species
GCAUUCCUGAUGAUGGCACAGGCACUGCCAGUAAUUUUCCUGGUUUAAUUCCACCCCAUCCAACAGUUACUAGUAUAAGCAAAGAUAAUCUUCAAUCUGCUGCUCCAAAGAGUAGUAUUGUCCAUACAUCUGAUGCUUUUCUACCUUCCGCUGAUAACUCCAAGCCUGUCAUCUCAAAUGGUCCCAAGGCCCCACCUUUGCAGAAAAAGCUAGAGAAUUUAGAGCAGUUAAAGGAGGAACUUCGCAAGAAACAGGAAAUGCUGGACCAGAAACGAAAUGACUUUCGUCGCAAAUUGGACAAACUUGAGAAACAAGUAAACCAUCUGCCCUUACCUUGAAUGUUUCAUUUUCUCGCUAAUGCUACUUGUUUGAUAUGAGGCACAUAUCAUCUUGGCUUGCUUUACAAAUUUUCUCAUGUUAUACUCUCAUCUCAAUGUACCUUAUUUGCUAAGACAGUCUUUUUGCAUGGUUUCAAAGAGAUCUUAGAAAGGGUUUGAAAUUGAUUUAUAUAAAGAUGUGGGUGCAAAUUUAUUAGUGGGGUACAUGAUAACACUAUUAUUUCAUUAUCAGCUUUGCUCAAGGUUUGACUUUUUUCAGGCUACUGGACCCAAGGGUGAGGCAGACAUAGAGCAAGCUGCUAAGAGACCCAAAGUGGGAAUAACAGCUGAUGUUGGUAAAGUUGCUAAUCCAAAGUCCUCAAAUCCGACUCCUAUGGAAGAACUGCAUGCUGAGAUGACUGAUAAAAACAAAUGUGUAGAGAACGUUGUCUCCUGUAGUCCAAAAACCAGUACAACUAUGGUGCUGCAGCAAUCCACUGGCUUGAAUAGGGACUCCUUCUCCAGUGAAUAGAUACAAAUUGGACAAUCGUCCCACUGCAUUUAGAAUUAAUUCUUCCUCCUUUACCCGUUGGAUUCGCAAAUGUAAGUCUCUCUCUCUCUCUCUCCACCCCCCCCCCCAUCCUGACCAGUCGAGCGACAAAAAGGAGAGAAAUUAUUGUAGAACUUUUCUAUAAGUGAAUUAAUGAUCUCUGCACUUGGAUAUAUGGCUGCAAAACUUGGUGGAACACACAUUCCUCAAUGGAUGGGCCUAUGUGUUAAUCAGAGGAAUAAAGCAAUGAGUGCGUUUUUUAAAGCAAUGAUGGAGCAUUAUUUCCUUCAUAAUUGCCAUAAAUUUUUUUGAGGGGAAAAUANNNNNNNNNNNNNNNNNNNNNNNNNNNNNNNNNNNNNNNNNNNNNNNNNNNNNNNNNNNNNNNNNNNNNNNNNNNNNNNNNNNNNNNNNNNNNNNNNNNNGCACCAACCCCCGGGUUGAAAAGGGGCCCCUUUCCCCGGGAAAAAAAACAAAAUGGGCCAAUCCCCCCCCCCCUUUAAAAAUAAUUUUUCCCCCCUUUCCCCGUGGGUUUCCAAAAGUAAAUUUUUUUUUUUUUUUUCCCCCCCCCCCCCCCCCCCCCCCCUCUCUCUCAAAUCCUUCCUACUCAACCGCCAAAAAGUGACUAAAUGAUCUCUGCUCUUGGAUAUAUGGCUGCAAUACAUGUGCAUCACACAUUCCUCAAUGAAUGGGCCUAUGUGUUAAUCAUGAGCAAUAAAGCAAUGAGUGCCUUUUAAAAAGUAGUAUGGUAAGAUUUUAGAUGAGGCAUUAGGACCAUUUAUUAGGAAUAUAUGCAAUACUGUAGAUUCCAUUACAUUAGAGAUCAGGAUAAAGUUCUAGCAAACGCACAGAAUGAUUUCAAACAUGCUAUCCUUAAUACCUUAAUACUGCUAAAAUAUGAAAACUAUGAGAGAAUAUUUGUUUGUGGGAAUUUUCUGUGUAUUCUUCUCCUUGUAAGAGGUCAUAUUUAUAAUACAACGAAACCUGAAUAGGAAGCAAAUAAUAAAUUCCUAAAUCUAUUUGCAGUAGGAAAUCAGGAAUUAAAGUAAAUCAAUUACAAUUAUAAUAGGAAUUCUUGGUGUGUAAGGAAAGUAAGUCAAUAUCCACAAGUCACGCCAACACUCCCCCUCACGUUGGUGCAUAGAUGUCGUCAAUGCCCAACUGAUCUAGUGAAUUGUGGAAUGCUUUACUGAAAAUCGCAUUUGUCAAAAUAUCCGCCAAUUGAUCCUCGGAUUUCACAAAAUGCGCAAUCUGGUCCAUGUGUCGGGGUCGUUAGUCGAGAAGUCAUAAUCUGUGCAGCGGAAGAUGCAUAGGAUACAGUUGAGUAGGAAUUGGGAUCGGAAUAUGAGCCUGAGUCGAGGCCGGAGUCAGAGUUGAAAUCGGGAUCAGAGUCUGAAUCAGAGCCAAAUUCGGGGUUGGGGUCAUCAUCGGAGUGGGGGUCAGGGUCGUCUUCGGAGUUGGGGUCGGGGUCGGAGUCGAGGUCGUCUUCGGAGUCGGGGUCGGGGUCGUCAAAAGAGGAUCCUGAUUCUGGAUUAAGUUCGGGGUAAAAGUCUGCAUCGAGGUCGUCUUCGGAGUCGGGGUCGGGGUCGUCAAAAGAGGAUCCUGAUUCUGGAUUAAGUUCGGGGUAAAAGUCUGCAUCUGUAGGAGCGGAGCCAUCUGGGCACUCAACUCAACGAUGGUUGGUGGAGAAUGAGAGAAUGAGUCGGUGGUGCUACCUCUAUGAGGGUUGAAAAAAUCAUCAACCUCCAUAACACUAAAUAAAAUAAUCUCUAUUACAAUAGGACAAAAUAUAAUUGGUAAGUAACCAAAAUUCUAAUGAAAUAAGGACUCGCCAACACUCCCCCUCAAGUUGGGCAAAGAUAUUUCGCAGGCCCAACUUGACAAGCGAGUCACAGGACACCAUACUUGAGAAACACCAAUUGUAGAGAAGAUCUUUUAGUCAACCAAGAGUGAAACAAGUGACAAACUAAAACAAAGUUCACAACGGAAACACAAGAGCAAACCCUAAAAAAUAGGGCACAUAGCAAAACAUAGAAACCCUGUGAGUACGGGUGUAGAUAAGGCAGAACACAGAAACCGUGUGAGCACAGCAAUUGAUAAGGCAGAACACAGAAAUCCUGUGAGCACGGCAAUAGGUAAGGCAGAACACCGAAACCCCAUGAGCACGGCAGUGGCAACAAUAAAUUCUUCCAUAUAAACUUUAGCUAAUUCCCUCAGACACAACUUCUCUUCAAUCUUCCUCUCCCCCCCCUUUCAAGGGGGGAGAAGAGCACUUAAAUUUCAAGAAGAACACAAGCACAGGUCCCUAGAUCGAACCUGGCUCUGAUACCAUGCUAAAAUAUGAAAACUAUGAGAGAAUAUUUGUUUGUGGGAAUUUUCUGUGUAUUCUUCUCCUUGUAAGAGGUCAUAUUUAUAAUACAACGAAACCUGAAUAGGAAGCAAAUAAUAAAUUCCUAAAUCUAUUUGCAGUAGGAAAUCAGGAAUUAAAGUAAAUCAAUUACAAUUAUAAUAGGAAUUCUUGGUGUGUAAGGAAAGUAAGUCAAUAUCCACAAGUCACGCCAACAAAUACCUUAUCCAUAUAUCCUUCAUAUUUGCGGCGAGAGUAUCGCGGCUUCAGCUAACAAUGGAAGCGAUCCUCUGCAUGGUUCGUCCUUAACUCUUCUCUACAAAGACCUCCCUUGAAUCAUCAGUCAAAUCAGCAUCUCCAUACCAUAUCACUAGCGCCAGACGGCCCUUUUUUUUUUUUGGUGUUUUUUAUUUACAAAUAGUAUAGCCGGUCGGCUAUACCUGGGGAUUUGUUUAUAAAACUAGUGUCGCCGAGCCGCUAUACUAUUUUUACACGUGGCGAAACGGGCGCCAGGCGCCAGUCGGUGGUCCUUCUUUUUUUUUUUAAUAAAUAGUAUAGCCAGGCGGCUAUACCAUGGUUUUUUGUUAUAACACGUGGCUAUACUACAGUUUUAUAUUUAAAAAUAGUAUAGCCGCACUGCGAUACUAUUUGGGGCUAUACUUUAAAUCAUGUAUUUGUAAGUAUAGCCGCGCGGCUAUACUUUAAACCACGUUGGUUCAAAUCCAAGGAGUAAAGGUUAGACUGGGUUUUAUAAAGCUUACCCAUGUUUAAAUUUAAGUUUUAUCUGUUAUUAAUUACAUAAGAAUGAAUGAAAUUUUCAGAUUAUGCCGGGCAGUCUUAGAAAGGUGCAUUCUCCUAGAAGAGCACAUGCUCCUAAUGGAAGCUCUCCUAAUGUUAAUAACCAUACACAGGUGAAACAGAAAUUUCAUCCCAGAUCAAGCGAUGACAUAAGAACCUCAAGUCGACAGGCUGCUCCAGCACAUUUUGAAAAUGUGAAACAAUCUCAGAGGACCCUUCCGCCAUCUCUGCUUACUGCAAGAGAUAACAUGGCCCACAGUCAGUUUGGUUAUACCAAAGGGAUUUAUGAGAGACCAUUGUAUCAGGGCAAUGCCAAUGAAUUUGUUAGGCCUGAGAGCAGUGGAAGUAUGUUAUGUGCUUGGGAUAUGGCUCGUGUGAUUGGGCGAUUAGGUACGUAGUUUUCUUCUUAUGGCGUCCUAUGGUUGGAGCAAUAACUAGAAAGCUCAGUUGGGAUUAGAAUUAAAUGAAAAGGGUUGCUUCGAGGGAACCCAAAACCUCCAAGUUAGAUAAGCUAACAGUAGGAAUAUUAUUUGCUAUCCCAUUAAUGAAAAGCCAUUGGAAUUUUAUAUAUAGACUUUAGAUUCUAACUGAAAGUAUAAAAAUAGGAUAUCACUUUCUCACGACAUCUCUCCACUAUGAGAGUGACUAACUAGACUCCUACAAUUACUCAACUAAAGUUUAAAAGACAUGCAACUCUAUAAGUAUUCAACAACUAAAGUUUGAAAUUGUUGUUCUUUUGCAGCACUCAAAUCUUCCUUUUUCUUUAUAGUUUAUUAGCAUCAAACAUGUCAAUUUUGGGCUAACUUCAAACCACAUAUAAAAUCAUGCUUGUUUUUUCCAGAAGAAGAGGAUCAGUACUACUGAGGCCCCUUCUACUGCUUUUCAUUUUGGUAUAACUUUUAAACAGAGUUUCAGACCCAAGCUCAACUAAGUUCUUAACUCACAUCCAAUGUUGUUUAUGUAAAACAGUCGUAUUUGUAUUUACGUAAACAAAACUUGUCUUAGUUGUCUACAUCUGAUCAAAUGGAUCAACAAAACUUGUAUCCAUCAUGACUUACAUUACAAAACUGGAAAUCCAUUGAUCUCUUAAACAGCCAACUUUCUCCACAGAUGGAGGAAAAUUUAGGACAUAUGUCAUAGAACCUUAAACAAGAAUCAAAAAGCAAGACUUGGGGAGAGCAGCAUAAAAUUAUACAAGACGAGAGUAUCGCGGCUUCAGCUAACGAUGGAGGCGAUCCUCUGCCUCGUCCGUCCUUAACUCUUCUCUACAAAGACCUCCCUUGAAUCAGCAUCUCCAUACCAUAUCCCUAAUGCGCGGCUAUACUGUUUUUCACACAUGGCGAAGCGGGAGCUAGGCUAGAUGGGUCCUCUUUUUUUAAAAAAAUAAAUAAUUAGUAUAGCCGAUCGGCUAUACUCGGUGUUUUUUUUAAUGCAAAUGGUAUCGCCGGGCGGCUUUACUGGGGUCUUUUGUUGGAAUAUAUAUAUUUAAUAAAUAGUAUAGCCGCGCGGCUCUACUCGGGAAUUUUUUUUUUAUAAAAUGGUAAAGCCGCCCGGCUAUACUAUUUUUGACACGUGGCGAAGCGGCCGCAGGGGUCAGGCGGGUGGCCUUUUUUAUUUGUAGAUAGUAUAGCCGCGCGGCUAUACUACGGUUUUUAUUCUAAACAAAUAGUAUAGCCGCGCGGCUAUACGAGUUUGACACGUGGCGAAAUAGGCGCAGGCUAUGCUCGGAUUUUUAUAAAAAAUCGUAUAGCCGCGCGGCUAUACUCGCAUUUUUUACAUAAUAGAUAGAGUAUGGGCGGACGGCUAUAAUACAGGUCGGUUACAUGAAUGAACCCUUGUCCUCCGAAGCAAAUACCUUGCCCUCAAAAUUUCAACCACAACAAUUGCUUGCUUCGAAGCUCUAUAUGGUUUAACCAAGUUACAGAAUUUCCUGAUUUUCAAGCUGACAUGCACCCUUAAUUCCGCCGUACUGUUUGCUGUGCACUUUCAUGAAUCAAUGGAGCUGGCAUUUGUUUGUUCCAACACAAACAGAGCACUCCUCUGCAUCUCCAGCAAUAUGGCUAAAGCCGUGAUUAAUCCUAUCAUUCAAAACAUCCUGCAACCAGAGCCCUUAUAUCAGAACAAAAGCACAGUGGAAUAUGGUUGAAAUGCAUAUCGCAUAUACAGCAAACAAAGUUGAGCAAGCAAAGAGAAAUAUAACAAGCAUAAUCUCCCUUAAUUUACUGGACAUGUUUCUAAAACCAGGAUAAAUACAUUCAACCAUCAACAUAACUUUAGCCAAAGCUUCGGGGAAUUUUGUUACGACACCGUUUGAUGCAUAGGCAAAGAAUCAAAUUAAGGAAAUUCCAUUGUCAUACCACGAGUAGUUGAUGGAGGCCAAGAGGUGCCGUUACUAUAGAUGAGACACCAGGAUGCUCCUUUGCAGCUUCAGCUGUCAGGGAUGGAAUAUCCUGAAAAUAACACACAGCCUAAUCCAUUUCACCAUGUUUGUCUCGAUCAUCCAUCCAUACAGAGUUAUCAAAAAUCGAAAUUCAACCUAUAUUCAUUUAGUUAAUAAUAUAUUAUGUUGAGCUACCUGGUUCCAAUGUCUUCCAGUUAUCAAAAAUCGAAAUUCAACGGUCCAGUUGGAGGCGAUCAUUGGUAACUAUCAAAAACAACGUUUUUUAAAGGUAUAGCCGUGCGGCUAUACAAUUUUUUUAAAUUAAAGUAUAGCCGCGCGGCGCUACUAUUUGUUAAUGGUAGCUACGGUGUCGUUUCACCCCGGAAUUGAGAGCGGAUUUCCUGGACCUGGAGAUCCGCUUAGCCCACAGAGUCCAGCCCGAUUAUUAUUGGGCUCGUAGAAAUAAUAGGUGCACAUAAAAAAAACACGUUUUCUUUAAUUAGAAAAAAUAUAUAUUAAGAGAGAGAACGUUUUCUCAAAAAAAGAAAAAAAAUAAAUGCAUAUCUCUGAUAUAUUGAGUUAUUUUUUUUGUUGCUGUAAUCUUAUUUAGUUGGUUAGUUGCUGGCUGAUAUUAGUAUUUGAAUAUGAUGAAGUCUCACCAAAUAACUCAUUAUUGAUGGAUUCUAACAACUUUUGCUUGGUAGUUGUUAUGUUUCUUUCACUGUCACCAGCCAAUGUUCAUUUACGCAUUUGACCCUUAUAAUAUUGCCUAGCUAGCAGUUUAGCACAUACAUAUCCUUAAUGUUAUUAUAUUUCCUAUUUUCCUUAUCUCAACUUAUUUUUAUGUGUAUUUCAUGGAUCAUGUAAAACAUAACUAAUAUGAUUCCUUAAUAGAAAACGACGCCUAAUUUAUAUCAUCUCUUGUCAUUGUUUUACCACCAAAAUAAUUUAUUAAGAAAAAGAAAAACACACACACAAGAGGAAUCUUCAAACUCAGUCUUAACAAAAUGAUUUAGAGGAAAUCCAAAUUUCAUGUCGGUAUCAGAAAUAGAAAGUGUCACUUCUCUUUCUUCUUCUGUUUUCUUUUCUUGAGAAAGAAAGUGUUACUUCUUUUGAAUAAAUAAAACAGAACAAAUGUUGGCUUUAAAAUCAUUAUCGCAAUCGUUACCUUGCUAUUGCUUGCAGCAUCCUCCUUUUUUGACUUCUUUUGCAGCCUAUUUUUAGUAUUAUUAUUUUGGUUCAAUUAAUUUGGGAAUUGCUUUUAUUACAUAAUAUUUGGCCACAAAUUCAGCAUUUUGGCCGAUGCGGGAUUACCACGGUGAUUGUGUCCCUCGUCUUCUCCACCCAGAAUCGAAACACCAAUUUUCUUUCCUCCCAAUAUAACAAAAUAUAUAUAUUCAGCAUUUUGUAUCCAAAAAUUAUUAUGAAAAAGAAGAAAAUAAAAAGGGAUUUGUUUGUGGCGAAAAUAUUCUAUCCCAGUAACCAAAAAAAAAUAAAAAUUCUAUCCCAACAUCACACGCAACGCAACUAGGAAAAACACUUCCCAACUUUACGACAACGAACUUUAAAAAAGAGAAGGAAAAUCCGACCUCCCACUUGCAAAAGCCCAGUCAGUGCAAAUUCAACUAUUAUGUCUCUUCUUCUUCUGGUCUCUGUCUAAAUUUGCAAAGCUUUAAGCUUUUAGCUUUGAGCUUUGAGCUUUUAGCUUUGAGCUUUAAGCAAGCAGCUUAAUUUUGCCUUUAGCUUGCAAUUGCAUACAACUUACCAGUCUCGUGCCACUCCAAAGUGCAGAGGUUCAAGUGGAUCUGGUUCUGAUUUUCACGUGACAGAAAUGAUGAGAGAGAGCUUGAGCUCUCUCCUUCUUUCUCUCUCUCUCUAGCUACUUAAGCUUUGCUUGAGCCCUAAACACCCAACAUUUUGCCUUUGGGAGCUGAAAGUUGUUAAUGCAAGAGCAGCUAAUUGAUUGAUUAAUUCAUGAAGCGGAAGGCAGGUCCGCAGAAAGCACAGCACAAAUGGAAGAGGAAGCUGUUCGUUGCGCUUUUGAUGGGCUUUUGCUUCGGGACGUUGGUGUUGCUGAUGCACACUCAGUACAGUCGGAUUAUGACACUCGCUUCGUUGCAUACUCAGCUCACUCAACCCCCCAAGGUCGCCUUCUUGUUCAUCGCUCGCAAUCGCCUUCCCUUGGACCUGCUUUGGGAUGUUUUCUUUCAGGUAAUUGCUACUUUUGUUUUUAUCUAAUUUCGUGAUUAAGAGUUGUAGUUUUUUUUUUGUUUUUUUAUUUUUUAUAUAGGAAGAGUUGUAGUUAAUCAUAUAGAAAAUCGCUUGUUGGAAAUUUAUGUGAAAGAUGCAUUUUUGUUUAUGUUUUUGUUUGCAGGGAGGGGAGAGUAGGUUUUCAAUUUAUGUUCACUCUAGGCCUGGGUUUCUGUUCAACAAGGCCACCACCAGAUCGGUUUUUUUCUUGAAUCGUCAAGUCAAUGAUAGUAUACAGGUGGGACUUCCUAUUUCCUUACAUGAAUUCUCAAUUUGAAAAUACAAUAUGUCAUCUGUGUUUGUGUGCUCAUGAUAGUAUGCUGGAAAGGUUUGAUUUUGUACUGAUAGGUAUGACUUAUAAGUAUCUGGAAGAUGAAAAUUCUUAUUGAAAACUUCAAAUGGUCAAGUGAGAGAGUUAAUGUACAUGCUAAUUGAGUGAAUUUUACUUUUAUUUUAUGUAUAUUUAAGGAUUGAGUUGAACUCUGUGCAUGAAGAUGAUUUCUUUUCGUAUCUUUAUCCGGAUUAUUAUAUUUAUUUCAUGUGUUCUAUACCAGGUAGAUUGGGGAGAAGCAAGCAUGAUUGAGGCUGAGCGUAUAUUACUGAAGCAUGCACUUGAGGAUCCUCUUAAUCAACGCUUUGCCUUUCUUUCUGAUAGGUGAAGAUUAGCUUGAUCGUUUCCCCCCUUAGAUUUCAGUGACAUAAAUUGAGUUCUGAACUUCUGAUAGUUUCUUUUUCGGCAAUCAAUAGAACUUCUGUUUUUUGUGUCAUCUAACAAUAUUUCAGUUACUUAAUCUCUUUUCAGCUGCAUUCCUCUUUACAGUUUCAGCUAUAUAUAUGACUACAUUAUGUCAACAAGAACCAGCUUUGUAGACAGGUGAAUAGAACAACUCAAAUAUGUGUUAUUAUGUAUAUUUGAAGGAAUCAGUUGUCUGUGGUCUGCAGUCAUUAGUCGGUAUCUGCAUUCUAUAUCAUUACAGACUAAUUUGUUUCCCAUCAUCAUGACUUUCAUCAAUCGAGGCCUCUUGGGUUCAUCUUCAGAGUUCAUACAUAUUAUUAUUAAUAUGGAUCACAAUGCGACAAUAUUUCAAGCAUGGAUCAUUUUAUGUUAUCACUAAAUGUUUUGUGAACUAUGUUCUACAAUGUUAUAUAUAUGUGUCUUUCUUAUGAUGGUCAAUUUAAAAGUAUAUUUAACUAUUAACUUUUGGAGCAGCUUUGCCGAUACGAAAGAGGGCCGCUAUAAUCCCAAAAUGAAUCCUGUUAUUCCUGUUCAUAACUGGAGAAAAGGAUCUCAGGUACAGGUUCAGUAUGAUGGAUUAAUUGCCUCUUGAGUUUCAGUGCAACACUGAAAAGGAAACCUAAUAAUAUGCCUUUUAUUUUCUGCUGUGUGACUUUUGUGCCGAUCAUCUUAUUCUUUUCUUUUGCUUUUUCUCAUUGCAGUGGGUUGUUUUGACCAGGAAGCAUGCUGAGGUUGUAGUGAAAGACAAUACAGUCUUUCCUAUGUUUCAACAGCAUUGCAAGGUAAUUUUUCAUUACAUUGUUAUCUGACCAUUGCAUGGAUAAAUGUUGCAGUUACAGCCUUUUUGGUUAUUCCUGUAACAUAGUAUCUUUGUGAGAGAAUCCAUAUAUUGCAUAUAAGGAAUACAGAUAUUGCAGAAGGAUGGCUGCUUUUAUCAACUAGAAAAAAUUGGCAUAUUGUAAUGGUUAAAUUUUAUUUACUAAAACACUUCAACUAAAUUCACAUAUACUGUUGUACCUAAAACUGGAGAGGAAAGCUUUACUCCUUGCAAUGAGUAGCUGGCAUAUUAGUUCCUUAUUUUGCACAGGAUUCUUAAUAGUUGUUAAGUACCCUUUUUGUUUUUUACCAGUUGACACAGCACUCUAUUUGUUUUUCUUUGUUAUCUUGUGAAGUUCUUUUUUAAUAUAAAUUUUUUGGUUAGUUUUGGUUUUUUCUCUCUCAUAUUUUACAUGUUCUAUGUGUGGCAAUGAUGCAGACGAAGUCGCUACCUGAGUUUUGGCGGGAUCGUCCCAUUGUAAGUACUCUUAUUCAUCUUUUAAACCUUUACUUCAACUACCACAUCGGCUUUCCAAUCAAAGCAGUCUAUCACCAAUACUAACAAUCUUUUGAAAUAUUAAAUCCAUUUUCCUGUCCUAUUUCUUAUUCAUUUGAGGGCUCUGAUGUAAAUUUGCUGACACAGUUUUCAAGAGGUGAAGUUUGAUUUUCUAUUCUGAUUGCAGCCUGCUGAUACAUCCAAGGAGCACAAUUGUAUACCAGACGAGCAUUAUGUUCAGACAUUACUGGCUGUAAGAUAAAUUCAUUUCUAACCAUUGCAAUCAUUUGGACAGAAACCUGGAUUUGUUUCUUUAUUAGAAGAAUUAUGAUUCGUUAAUUUAUACCUGAACAAUUUUGGUCAAUAAGGAAGAAGGUAUUCAUAGGCAUUAGGCAGAUUGAGGCUUCAAUUGAAUAAAUUUAUGUGGGAAUCCAUUCAGAAUUUUUUUUUCCUCCUCCCCCUCCCUUUUUCUUUUGGAAAGCUAAAACAGCAGCGGAAGCUUUUACAUCGCCAUAAUAGUUUAGCUCUCUAAGAAACCUGUAUUUUAAAUUUCAGCAAGAAGGCCUUGAAGGAGAAAUCACGCGUAGAUCACUGACACACUCGUCAUGGGAUUUAUCAUCCUCUAAAGACCGUGAACGCCGUGGAUGGCACCCUGUGACUUACAAAUAUUCAGAUGCUACUCCUAUGCUUAUUAAAUCUAUAAAGGUAUGCAUAUAUUUGAUGUGGCAGCAAGCUGUCUAUUAGAAAUCAUAUAGUAAAGGUUGGAUCAACUAUACAUUGAUGGAUCUCAUUCCUAAUGCCCCCAAAAUAUAGGCAAGACUCAAAAUGAUGGAAACGACAUGGUUGUCCAACAAAGUUCUCUUGAUGUUUUAUGAAAUUAGACUAUUUCACUUCUAUCAUUCUAAUAUGUUUCAACCUGAGGAUUCACUGAUAUGAGACUAAUGGAAUCCAAAUGUUUUCUUUCUUAUACAAGCAUCAAACCCAUUAAACCCAUACAAUGGUUUAAAUGUACAUGUUUAAUAUUUGUAGAGAUUUUUCUGGACUGUUAUUUGAAUUUAAUAAUAGCUUUUAGCAUCAAACCCAUUAAACCCGCCCAUGCAAUGGUUUAAAUGUACAUCUUUGAUAUCCGUAUAAAUUUUUCUGGACUGUUAUUUGAAUUUUAAUAAUAGCUUUGGAGACUGAUUUGGAAAGUUAAGUUACACAGGUUAUCAGAUUCAAUUAAUGUAGCAAUGUCCCUGUUGAAGCUAGAAAAGCAUGAAAACAAUUUCGAUAAUUUUUUAUAUAUUUUUUUUCAGGAGAUAGAUAAUGUCUACUAUGAGACUGAAUACCGGAGAGAAUGGUGUAGUACCAAGGGCAAACCAUCCAAAUGCUUUCUUUUUGCACGAAAAUUUACCCGGCCUGCUGCUCUCAGGCUUCUUAACACGGUACGUUUCAGAAUUCAAUAUGUAGAUCAGCACUAUGUUCAGGAUUUUGCCUAUACUCAUAUUUAGUAACACAUGGUUAUGCAUGUUUUUCUAUUUGACAGACUGCACUGGAACUCAAACGGAGCAAGGAUUAAAGUCUUAACUCUGGUAAAGUUUGUUCUCAGCUAAUCUGGCUAGUCUUGAUACAUAUUAGAAAAUAGUAAUUCGAUUUGCAAUCAGCGGAAUAAAAGAAAAAGGAGGUUAUGUAAAUUUUGUUGGGGAGGGGAUGGUGGGGAAGGAGAGGGACAAGGUGUUGUACUGUGGUAUGUAUUCUUUUUAGAACAAAACAAAAAAGGAAAAAAGAAUUACAUAGAAUAAAAAUGUAACUAUUGCUUUCUAUGUCUCCUCCGCUAUACGAGAAAAACUUAGUUGCAACGAGAAUAACAUUGUUUUGCUAUUCUUCGUCAAUAAUGCUUUGUCAUGAGGAAGUGUUAUUAUGCGUGUCAUAGAGUUAUUGGCCAUGAUGGCAAAAUAAUGUUAUUCCCGUUUCAUGGAAGUCUUUCUCCCGCUCCUUAUAGGAUUUGGGUAUUUAAAUUCUUUAUCUCCUGGGGAGCUGCAUGUUACAUCAUGUUGCCGAAAGAUGGACAAACUGGGCCAGUUGACAACUUGCACCUUGACCCUUGGGCCUUAAAUCUGUGAUUUCUAAUUUUGCCAAUACAAUAGAGGCACUAUAACUAAUAUUUUAUUUUAUUUUAUACAAGUGAUAUUUUAUUUAAAUUAAUUUAGUAUACUUUGAGGAAGAUUCGAACUUUUGUGCAAAUGAAUAGACACAUUAUAUUAUUCUAACCAACUCGCCUCAAACCAAACAAACAAAAAGGAAAAGUAGAAAAGAUUUGGGCUUUGUAUAAUAAAGAGAAAAGUUUGGGGUAUGGGUAGCCUCAAAUUCUUUUUUUCACGGUUUAUAUGGUGGGUCCAUGCUGAACGCGUAUUGCCGGUCAUUGGUUGAGUGAAAAAGUAUUCAUUCUACCUCAAAGAAUAAUGACUGUAAUGGAUAUUUGGAUUGGGUCUGUUGGCCCUUGGGUGCAUGUCAAUUGUCCUUGUUUGCCAACCGAAACCAUCAAUGAAAACCAAUACAAUUAUUAAUGGUUUCAUUUCAUCGACUUUGACUCAGAAGAAGAUGAAUUUGUUGAGUUGUCGGUGUCCAAUUAUCUGAUAACCCAUCCAUCAUAUUUCAUAUAUACUAUCAGGCUUCAAAAACCAGACACGUAAACGGGACUUUAGCUUUUGAAAGGGCUAGCAAAUGCAUGCAGAUGUCCUCCACUCACCGGCACACAAAAAAGCAGCAACAAGGCAUGGGCAUGUGGCACUACAUCUCCCAAUAGCACUGCUCCCCCGUUUCCGACUCACAGCACCAGAAAAUACCUUUUUGACUUUGUCAUCAUCAUAAGUCAGACUACAUGUUCAUCAAAAGAAGUAAAUGAAACUUCUAAAUUAUAGGGUGGUUGGGUCUUGUUGGGAGGAAUAAAGAACUAUUGUGAACAAAAUCGUUAGUUUCUUACGAAUUUAUAAGUUGAUUUUUGACUGUCGAUCCGUUGUGAAAAAAUCACUUUGUCACGAAUUUGUUUGCGAGUGAAAGAUGGGAGAUUCUAUGUGGUCCUAUCCUAUCCUAUCCGAUGUAUUAUAGAAUUUCAUAUUACAGGUAGUUACAACGUAAGGUUUUUCUUGCCCACGCGGCGCUGUAUGGGUGUUCCACGUAGCACAUAUUCUUAUUUUAACCGUAAAAGAGCAUUUGGUCGGUGGAACUGGAUCCUAAGAUGUUUACACGUGGCAAUGGUCGGCACACUGUCAACUAUGGGCCUAUAUAGGUGUACUAGUCUAGUAUUGUUAAUCUCAUUCUACAGACGGAAUCGAAGGGUAAGCCCACAAUACUUAAAAGGUCAGAGGCCCACGAAAAUACCACACGCUUUGAAUAAGAAUAUUAUACUUUAACUUGUAUGAGAUAAAACUUCUGAAGAAAACCCAACCAAUUAUUUAUCCAGCAAAAAAGAAAAAAGAAACAUAAAACAAGUUUUUGAAAAAAAUGGAACGUAUAGAAUAUUAUAACCCAAGACACAACAAAAUUUGAAGAAUCGCAGCAUAAAUUUUCCACGGAGUUCUGGAAGGCACGUAACUCGUUGAUAACCUCUUUUCCUUUUUCUAAAGGAGAUUUUCCAAAUAAAUAAAAUAACAAUUUAAGGAGACUUUUCUGGUAAUUUGAUUGCCCUUCUUUGAAAGCGAUAGACAAGAUUUCAAUAGAUCUUGUCUUCUGGCUUAAUUCAGGGUUUAGGAUUUGGAAGUCAACAACCUCACAUAUAUAAUUACUUUAAAAAUAUUAUAUAUAUUUUAUUGAAUCUUGAAUCAUACUUAACUGACGAAAUUAGGACCAGCCAUCACUACUAUAUUCCCGGGGAAAAGCGAGAAACAAAACAAAAACAGAGAGAUAAGAUUUGGGCUUUUCGUUUUUUUUUUUGUUUUUGUUUUUUUUUGUUUUUGGGCCCGUGUCACUUUGAGAUAGUAUCAUAUUCGUAUAUGUGUAGAUUGAUUCCUUCAACUUUUAAAGAUAACAUGACGUGUAAAUUUAAGCAAUUAAGAAAUUAAGGUUGUAAUUUGUAAUUUAUUUUCGAUUCAUAAACUAAAAUAUCAUUAGUGAUAAUCAUAAAACUAAAAUAACACAUGCAUGGAAAAUACGAGCAAAACCUUGUAUUUAUGAACUUUUAAUUUAUUACCGUGAUAGCUUGUAUUAUAUAUGUCCAAGUAGUAAAACUACGUAGACAUGCUCAUCCGAUUGAUUAAAAAACAAAAAAAAAAAAGACAUGCACAUCCGUUUAAUUGAUCAUGUGCACAUGUAAGUUUUCAUGAACCCUAAUAUUUCGAUCAAAUUAAAACACCAUGCCUUCAUUUUACAAGUCGAUUGAACAUCAGCACUCAUAGCCUUGUAAUUUGCAUGGGGCACCAAGCCUUCAUUCAAUUUUCACCAUGUAUCUCCUGAAAUGAAAUUCAAUACAGCCCUUUUUUGUGUGUGUGUGAAAGAUAGAGAAAUUUUAUUAAAUGCGAAUAGAUCAGUUAACAUCCUUGGUUAGGCAAUUAAACAGUCGAUAAACAUUAUCCCAAUUGUGCCAACCACCAAUACGAAAAAUAUGGGCUGCCACCAAAUGUGCAACUUGAUUACAAUUCCGCGGAGCAUGCUAAAAGUCCACCUUGUGAAACUGUUGAAUCAGAUAUAUAACAGCAAAAAGAAUGACAUUAAACAAUUCGAAACAAUUUGUUUUCCUUUGAUGGCGAUGUUAAGCGCGUGACGUUCUCCAUUAAGGACCAAGUAAUCUAUAUGAAGAAAUUGCAGCGACAAUUGUAUUGGAGGAUGAAGCGUCAAAUCCAGAAAACUAUAUAUAAUUCAUGCUUUUGAUGUUACCGUUGAGGUUGAGGCCCGUCUGUAAUGGAUAAUUUGAGAAAGAAUUUAAUUUAUCCUAAUUUCUUUCCUUUUUAAAGAAACAUCAUACGGUUGAUUUAGUUUAUUAUUUUGUUUGAAAAAGUUAUAAUAUAAAAAAAUAAAAAAGUUACCAAGAUGUCUAAUGAAACUUCCACCUCACCUUCGUGGUCACUUUUCAUUCGUCUAUAAAAUGGACGACCCUAUAUUCACUGAGCCACUCAUCAUCACAACUUAAAACAGCAAGUUUUGGAUUUUCCUUCACACCCAAUCAAAGUCAUCACAGAUUCUUUUCCAGAUCAUUCUUUGAUUCUCCGUUCUGAAAAAAGAAAACCCUACCAUCCAUUUCUCUAUAUAAACCCACCCUCGCUCUUCUCCCUUUCUUCACCGCACCCAAAAACCAACACCUAAAACCUCUUCACAAGUUACCCUUCUGUGUUUCUCAUACACAUUCAGUCAAUGGCUCCAAGUUUGACUAAAGCUGCCAACGGCGACACUAACCUCGCCGACGGCUCUAAGCCCUCGUCAUGUCCUUUCACGCUCGAGAAGUCCAACUUCAAGGCAAACGGCCAUGUCAUUCUCUCCGACGUGCCGGAAAACAUAACACUCAUCCCAUCACCCUACAGCACCGCCGGCUGCUUCGUGGGCUUUGAUGUCGCCGAGCCCAACAGCCGCCACGUGGUCCCCGUUGGCCAACUGAAGGACAUCCGCUUCAUGAGCAUCUUCCGGUUCAAAGUCUGGUGGACUACCCACUGGGUCGGAUCCAACGGCCGGGACCUAGAGAACGAGACCCAGAUCGUCAUCCUCGAAAGCUCCGACGCCGGUAGGCCCUACGUCGUCGUUCUCCCCCUUCUAGAAGGCUCCUUCCGCGCCUGCAUCCAGCCCGGCAACUCCGACUUUCUCGACAUCUGCGUCGAGAGUGGGUCCACCCGAGAAGUCUCCAAUUCCUUCCAGAGCGUGCUUUAUUUGCAAGCCGGUGAUGAUCCGUUUGCCCUAGUCAAAGAGGCGGUCAAAGUCGCGAGGGACCAUUUGGGAACUUUCCAACUUUUGGAGGACAAGACCCCACCUGGGAUCGUGGACAAGUUCGGUUGGUGCACCUGGGACGCAUUCUAUCUUACUGUACACCCUCACGGCGUCAUAGACGGCGUGAGGAAGCUGGUGGAAGGUGGGUGUCCACCCGGGCUCGUGUUGCUCGACGAUGGGUGGCAGUCCAUUGGUCACGAUUCUGAUCCCAUCACCAAAGAAGGCAUGAACCAAGCGGUUGCCGGCGAGCAAAUGCCGUGCAGGCUCCUGAAGUUUGAAGAAAAUUACAAGUUCAGGGACUACGUGAGUCCCAAUGGGGGUGCCUCUGGUAAAGGCAUGGGUGCCUUUAUCAAGGACCUCAAGGAGGAGUUCAAGAGCGUUGAUUACGUGUACGUGUGGCAUGCGCUGUGUGGGUACUGGGGCGGAGUCAGGCCCAAUGUUCCCGGAAUGCCCGACGCUGUGGUGGUGGAGCCCACAUUGUCUCCGGGCCUACUGAAGACAAUGGAAGAUCUGGCCGUGGAUAAGAUCGUGGCCACUGGUGUGGGGCUGGUCCCACCCGAGGUCGUUGAUCAGAUGUACGAAGGGCUCCACUCGCACUUGAAGUCCGUCGGGAUCGACGGCGUCAAGGUGGACGUAAUCCACGUAAGUCGUUAUUUUUCUUCAAUUUUUAAUUCAAUUGGUUGUUAAUUAUUAGUUGGAUUUUGGUCGGUGUUGGCGUUGAAGUGUCACGUUGAAACUGCUAGGUGUCAUUAUUUUUGGAUGUGAAAGAUAAAGAGAGACUAUUUAACUUCUGUUAACUUACUUUGACCUGUAUGGUCGGCACGUUAUAUCUACUUUUCCUUUCCUCCUAACUUUUUAAUUUUUGUAAGAAUUUCCUUCUUUAAUUUUCAUAUUUACACAAAAUAAUUAAUCUUUAUUAUAUUUAUUUUAAUAUUUAUGCUGUAAACAGUUGCUGGAAAUGCUUUGUGAGAAUUAUGGCGGGAGGGUGAAGCUGGCGAAGGCAUAUUUCGAUGCUCUUACAUCUUCAGUGAGGAAGCACUUCAAUGGCAACGGGGUCAUUGCCAGCAUGGAGCACUGCAACGACUUCAUGUUCCUUGGAACCGAAGCCAUCACUCUUGGCCGUGUUGGUAUGUUUUUGCAAUUAAAAAUUUUCAUUUUGUUCUAACUUCUAACUCACUCCUAAUUUUAAUAAACAGAAAUUAAUCAUUUUGCAAAAUUUAUGCUAUCAGGUGAUGAUUUCUGGUGCACCGAUCCAUCUGGUGACCCCAACGGUACGUUUUGGCUUCAAGGGUGUCACAUGGUGCACUGUGCUUACAACAGCUUGUGGAUGGGCAAUUUUAUACACCCGGAUUGGGAUAUGUUCCAAUCGACCCAUCCCUGCGCUGCCUUCCACGCCGCCUCUAGGGCCAUCUCCGGUGGCCCUAUUUAUGUUAGCGAUGCCGUUGGAAAGCACAACUUUGAUGUGCUUAGGACCCUGGUGUUGCCCGAUGGCUCAAUUCUCCGGUGCGAGUACUAUGCACUACCAACUCGUGAUUGUCUCUUUGAGGACCCUCUCCAUGAUGGCAACACCAUGCUCAAAAUAUGGAACCUCAAUAAGGUAACCUAUCUUAUACUCUUGUAUUGUCAAACUGUGAAUUUGAAUCAUCGAUAAUGUUAUUUGGGUCUUAAGCUAACAAUACUUUUGAUAUGUAUGGAACAGUUCAGUGGAGUUCUUGGGGCAUUCAACUGCCAAGGAGGAGGCUGGAGCCGCGAAACCCGGCGCAACCAAUGUGCUGCUAAAUUCUCCCACAGGCUGACCGCCAAGCUCAACCCGAAGGACAUCCAGUGGAAGAGUGGCAAGAGCCCAAUUUCCAUUGAAGGAGUGCAAGAGUUUGCCUUGUACUAUCACCAAGCCAAGAAGCUUGUCCUGUCCAAGCCCAACGAGGAUGUUGAACUGUCACUGGACCCCUUCAACUUUGAGCUCAUUUUUGUCUCUCCGGUGACUGUUUUGGGUGCUAAAAAGUCUGUCCAAUUUGCCCCCAUUGGCUUAGUGAACAUGCUCAACACCGGCGGUGCCAUCCAGUCCUUUGUUUUCAAUGAGGACGAGAGCUCUGUUCAAGUUGGAGUUAAGGGCACUGGAGAGCUCAGGGUCUUUGCUUCUGAGAAACCAACAAGUUGCAGGAUUGAGGGCAACGACGUUGCUUUUGAGUACGAGCAGAGCAUGGUCAUAAUCCAAGUGCCAUGGCCUGCUUCUUCCACCUUAUCUACUGUGGAGUACAAAUUCUAAAUAUAGAUUCUAGACCAGUUUUUUUUUUUCUUUUUCUCAUGAGGACCAAGUCUCUCUUGUGCCUGCAACUUUAAUUAGGACCAAGGGACUUGGUAUACUUAAGCACUGUUGGCUAAUUAACGACUACUUAAUGAUUUCAAGUAAUACAAACUAUUGAGCUUUUCAUUAUAUAUAAGCUUAUAAGAUUCGCUCUGUUUUAAUUUUUUUUUUUUUUGGGUUGUAAUUUUCAUGUUCUUAGUUUUCCUCUCAAUUGUAUUUGAGUUGCCCAGUUUGUAGAUGGAUUUGGGAGAUGUAGAACUCCUUUGUGGUGUAACUCUCCACCUUAUUUCACCAUAUGAAUUGAUUUGCUGCAAACACUUUUGAUCUUCUUUUUUGCUACCAAAUGAACUGUUUGAAACAUUGUGCUUAACCAAGUAGACAAGACCCUAACAAAUUUCAGCCAUUAUUUUUUAGUAACUGCGUUCAAAGCUCAAAGGGAUUUGUAACUCAGUUCGUUAAGAGCAUUUAACCUUGCAUCCGAGGUCGUAAGUCAGAUUCCCCUCUCCCUCACUAUAGUUUUGUAUUCACACCAAAAAAAUUGCAUUCACAGAGUCACAAAUGCAGGGGAUAAUACAGAGCUUUUCCAUGUUGCAAGUUUAAUGCUUUUGCUCCUUUAGAAAAUAAUCUUGAUUGUCCAGAGUCAUGUUUAUAAUGGGCCAAUCCUUUGUCUAGAGGUCACAAUACGGGCUUUUUCAGAAAAAGAAAAAAGAGAAAGGGCUUUGUGGCCCAAAAAAACCAAAAGCCCAAAGCCCAAAGAAGUAAAUAAAAUUCAAAGAAAAAUAAUAAGACAAUCAAAAGUCGUAAAUUCGUAAUUUGGUUUUUACGUCUCAAAGAAGCGAAGUUAUUACAGAAAGGAGGAGGUCGUCUCAAAACGAAAUUGCUCAAACAUUGCCAAUCUUCAAGUUCAAUCCUCAGCAUAGAUAAAUAAGGAAAUUAAAUAAUACAAAUUCCAAAACCCGAAAAGGAGCAUCCAAAAUUUCAGGCUGCUGUUUGUAUAUACUCGAUGAGCACGACGUCGUUUAUGGACAAGCAGAUAAUGGAUCUGUCACAGGGAUCGCCGCAGCAGAACAACAACGACUUCAUCGACCAGAUGAAGAUGAACGACAACAACCAUCCCAAAGAGGAAGAAGAGCAGCAGGUCGGCCAUGGAAAUGGGCUUUCCAAUAAGCUAUAUCAUGAGAUGUUGCCCAGCUACGAUUUCCAGCCCAUUCGUCCCAUCGUCGGAACUUCUUCGCAGUCGCAGAGCCUCGAUCCCGCACCCAAUCUUGGAGGAGGAGGAGCCGCUAGGGUUUGGAACUCCGGCGAGCCCAAGUCCAACACUACCGCUCCUAUCAGAGUAAUAUUUUUAUUCCAUUAAUUGCUGAAUUUCAUGUUCGCAUUUUCAUAUGAAUCAAUCGAAGUGAUUAGAAGUGAAUCAGAAUUGCAUUAGUUUGCUUAGAAUUUGUAGUUUCUCUGAAGCUGCAUUAGUCUACUAGGGCAAGUGAGUGACCAAUCAGUUCGGUAAGGACCAUUUCAUUAGCAUAUAACAAAUUGGCAAUUAUGUCAGUUCAAGAGGUUAAUAGUUGUAUCUGAUGAUCAACACACGGCUUAAAGCUGCAAAAAAUUUAUUUGCUAGGUUUUGGGGGCUUUUUAGUUGUUAGUUGUUUUAAUUUCUUCUAGGUAAUUUAGGGAAUUGAUAAUUGUGUUUGAUUUCUAUCUGUUUUGAGAUUUUGUACAUUGUAUUUGUUAUUAGCAUUUUCAAAUUUUGUAUGAUAUGCUUCAGGCUUCAGGUGAAGUUAAAUGUUUUGUGAUUGGAGAACUCUAAUGAAUUAGCCCGAGGGCAGUGCGUGAAUUAAAACAACAACUUUUUGAUUGAUCUUGUUGCCAUGUAUGUUAAUUAUUAUUUGAGAUUAGAUUGAUCAAAGAUGGUGCUAUUGGAAGUAUUGAUGUUUUGUCUACCAUGAUGGGCUUUUUGAAUAUAGUAGCCUCCACUUGAUUUUUCAAGAAAAUCUUCCUGCUGUAUGGUAGACUUUAGGUAGACAUUUAUGAUUGAUAACUGUAUGUUAGCUGUACCAUUUGGUUCAUUUACAUUUACAUGGUGCUACCCUUUUUUUGUUUCUUACAGAAUUAUGGCUCUCUGGAUUCUAUUGAACCUGCAAAAGUUAUUUUACAGAAGGACCGAAAUGUACUUGAUGCUACUGUUGUGUCAGAGAUUGACCAGGCCAUGAAGAAGCAUGCUGAUAAUUUAUUACAUGUGUUGGAAGGUGUUAGUGCACGACUAACACAACUCGAGAGCAGAACCCGCCACCUUGAGAAUUCUGUGGAUGAUUUGAAGGUAUCUGUGGGAAAUAAUCAUGGGAAUGCUGAUGGAAAGAUGAUACGGUUGGAGGAUAUUCUUCGAGAUGUAUGUUGCCUUUACUUUUGGUGUUUUAGUCAAAUAGGACUUCUGUUAAUCUGGAAAUCUUAUAAAUAGCAUUGGGAGUAUGAUUGAUGCAAUAUGCAGGACGAUUGUUAGUCUUGAGCCAGAACUAAAUAGAGAGUGUGAAAGCAAAGUUGCCCAUCUCCCAUGCUCUCACCAAACCUGAAAUUCUUGAAAAUCUUCAAUCUUCUAGGCAUUUGAAUUGCGUGGUUUUGGAAACAUUUUUACCCCAACAAGAUAACUCCUAGUAUAUCUUACAGCAAGGUCUUCUUAGUUGGGUUUACUUGCUUCCAGGUGAAAGCAAGCAUUCAUUUGUUUUGGCAUGAAAACUUAAGUGUUGUUUAUUAGCACACUAGCCUAUGUUUAUCUGUUUUUCUGGCCAAUGUGUUUAUGCUGCUCUAUUGACCAUUCUUCUCUUUUUUGAUUUUUGUCAACAUCACAUACAGGUACAAACAGGUGUUAAGGAUUUGAAGGAUAAGCAAGACAUAGUAGAGGCUCAGCUGCAUCUUGCAAGGAUACAAGUUUCCAAUCCCAAGGUAGACCCUCAACCAGAACCUCAGAACGCUAUGCAUGGGGAUUCUGGGCAGGCAGCCGCCUCUGCUCCUCGACACUCUCACCAACAACUUCCUCCCCCUGUGAACCUUCCGCCCUCACUUCCUGCUGUCUCUCACCCAAAUGCUCCUCCCCAACCUAUGCCCCAAAGUGUACCACAUACAGUUCAACUUCCAAAUCAGUUUUCUCAGAACCAGAUCCCUCCUGUCCCUCAGCAAGACCCUUAUUUCCCACCGCCUGGUCAAAAUCAAGGAGCCCCAAAUCAGCAAUACCAAUUACCUCCAGGUCAGCAGACGGUCCCCCUUCCUCCAGUGCCACCACAUCAACAAUUUCAACCUACCACUCAACCACAGUAUUCUCAGCCUCCACCCCAGCUGCCUCAACAGCACCCUUCGCAUACACCUGUUAAUCCCUCUCAACUCCAGCCUACAUUGGGUCACCAUGCUGAAGAGACACCUUAUAUUCCUUCCCAGAACUACCCACCCAGUCUUCGUCAGCCACCUUCUCAUACGCCCAGUGGUCUUCCCCCCUCCCAACAGUAUUAUAGUCCAGCUUCCCAAGCGUAUGAGCCACCUUCAAGCAGAUCCAGUUCAGGGUAUUCUUCUGGGUAUAGCCCUCCAGCUGGGCUUGGUGAGUCAUAUCAUUAUGGUGGAUCACCUUCUCAAUAUGGUGGUAGCUCCUCAAUGAAACCACCACAACUCUCUUCUUCUGCUACAGCUCAAAGUGGAGGAAGUGGUUACCCACAGCUACCAACUGCUCGGGUACUACCACAAGCAUUGCCUACUCCAUCUGGGGCAGGGGGUGGUUCAGCUUCAGCUGGGACUGGAAACAGAGUUCCCAUUGAAGAUGUGAUCGACACCGUGACAACUAUGGGUUUCCCGAGAGACUAUGUUAGGGCCACUGUUCGAAAGAUGACAGACAGCGGCCAGUCAGUUGACGUCAAUGUUGUGCUAGAUAAGUUGACGAAUGAUGGGGAAGUUCAGCAGCCUAGAGCUUGGUUUGGUCGAUAGUAUGGUGUUGCCUGCUCCAGACCGAUGUAUAUGAAGUAUCACUUGUUUCUAGAUCGUCUAUCGCUUGGAACUUAGGAGAUGCACCCUUUUAUGUAUUUUGCGUUUCUCUUAAUUUCCUUAUGAGGGAUUUACAUUCCAUUGCGUGCGCUUUGCAUUGAACCUAUUUUCUUUCUUUGCUAGCUUCUGUAAGUGAUCGCAUGUCUUCCUCUCAUUUGUGUAUUUACUCGUAAUAAAUGGCAGGUGGUUUAUUGAGUUUUAUGAUCUGUUCUUCGUGUAUCAUUACACAAUUUUUAACGCUAUUGCAAAUUUUCCCUUGUGCAUUUUUCUGCAGAAAACAGGAAUCUUUUCCUCGCUUACCAAAGUGAAGAAAGAAUAUUAUUUCCAAGAAAGAGAGAGAAAAAGAGGAAUAUUAUUUUCACAGAAAACAUAAAAAAAAAGAAAAUGAUUAAACGUGAAAAAUACAUUUGUCAAAAAUAAAAUAAGAAAACCCCACCUUUCCAAACAUGCACGGACGCACCCCACCCAAAAAGGAAUAAAAAAAGAAAUGAAAAAAAAAAAGAAGUCUCGUGAGACACUUCCACAAUUUCCAUAAUCUUAUAGGAGAAAAUGCAAUUUUGUAAUUCUAGUUUUGGUCCACACUUUAUUUUAUUUAUUCCUUUUUUUGGCACAGCGUCGUCUCUCUCAAAAAUCCUGUUUGCUCGGCACAGCUCCAAACCCCCAAAACAAGUCACAGUCGCAAAACCUCUUUCUCUCGCAUAUUACUACCCCGCCAAAUCUCUCUCUCUUUCUCUCACGCAAAAGCUUUCGUUCGAUAGACCCCCUCGAUUAUCUCAUUUUUACGAUCCUUACCCCUACCUGUUCCCUCUGCAACUAUGUUUCUUCCCGAAAUUGCCUUCCAUGACCUCCGUGCAUUGCUCCGCGCUCCGUAGCGAAGUUGAAUCAAUCUCUAUGUAUGAAGCUUUAGGAGGCAUUUGUUGCUCAAUUCUUUUAGAACACUCGGUAAGAAUUUAUGCUUAAUUAUUUGAUUUUACUUUUCCGUUCUUUUAAACCUAAAUUAUUAUCAGCUAAUGCAAUUCCUAGGAGUUUAAUUUUCCAUAUUCUGUUGAUUAUAUUGGAUUACUUAUCGUUUUCAUAUGUAAUUGUGAAAGCCUAUGGGUUUUAGGAGUUUAAUUUUGAUAGUGCGGACGUGUAUGUAUAAAAUUGCAUUCAGUUAUUGACUAGUGCUUUUCAUUUGGGUUUCGCUUACUUAAUUUAUUUAAGCAGUUUGUGUCUGUUUCUAAUAUGGUCAUUGCUUUGUGCAUUAAUCAUAUCUAUAGAGUGUUGAUUUAAGUGGUUCAACGAUCAUCAUUCAUUCUAAUAAUCAGUGAACAUGAAGUACUGAUUUUGAAUGCUAUUUCGCAUAGCUCCAUAAAAACAAUUCAAUUCAUUUUACUUCUAAAUUUGCGUUGGCACAUGUAUGCUGAUUACACAAUGUGUAUCAAGUUGAUAUGGUUAUGGUGCAAGGAUUUCAAAUUGUUUGCACCUCAAAUGUUUUUCAUGUUUGAGCCAUUUUUUCUCUGGAACGGGAUGAUUAUCUGCUCUUAACAUUUUUCUUUUUUGUAUUUCCUGGGAAGUAAUUUUAGGUUCUUUCACUGGAGUAUUUAUAGACAAACAAGUAAUUUGAUUUCUGCACUGGGAAAUUAGAGCUAUUGGUGACAUAAAACAACAUCCUAUUGAUUUCAAGGGAUCAAAUGGAGUUAAAAGUUUCAUCUCCAAAACCAGGGGGCCUUUCUCCUUCUGAUUGUAUUAGUGAUCCUGAGGAAAAGGAAGUCAGUGAUGAUGAUGAUGAUGAUCGAAACCACAAACAUCGUAGACGAGAGACUCGUUCUCAGUCUUUGGAGAGAGAUACUCUUGACCAAGUUAUAGCAAGGCCAUACAGAAAGCGAAAUAAACCUUUUGCAAAUGGGAACUCUUUCAGGGAUAAUGACUCUCAAGCAAGUACAACGUGGAGAAAUUACAAUUCCGCUUCUCAAGACUUUUCUGUAAAAUUUGAUAAAAGACGCCCGGGAUUAGCAUCACUGCCUCGAGCACCUUUCGAUUUAAAUCAAAGAAUCCGUGCAAACCAAGGAUUUCCUGGAGACCCUGGUCUUGGUAGGGGAAGAGGAAGAGACUCUGGAUCAUGGGGCCAACGCGAUUCUAGGUUCAACUCAGAUAUUGCUUCUCAAAUGGUUCAGCAGGGAUCCAUUCCUCCAAAUCUUUUUGCUGGACGUGGAUUACCAAGUGUUUCCAGUGCACAGAAUGCAUCCUGGAAUGCAUUUGGAUUGAUUCCAGGAAUACCUAAUGGCGCCAUGGAUACACUACAUUCCAUUGGCUUGCAAGGAACACUCAGACCACCAAUCCAUUCUUCGAUGAAUAUGGGGAUUCCUCGUCAAAGAUGUAGAGACUUUGAGGAGCGUGGAUUUUGUCUAAGAGGGGAUAUGUGCCCGAUGGAGCAUGGUGUGAAUCGGAUUGUUGUUGAAGAUGUCCAGGUACAUUUAUUGUGCAUAUCUUUCCUGUUACUCGAACAUCAGUAGCAUAUAUUUGGCAUAGCACCAAUCACUUUAAAAGUAGAAAAUGGAAAGAGAAUUGUGGCAAUGCGUCUUUAGACUGAGGAUCACCACAUCUACUGGGGUACAGAUGUUUUAUGUGAAAAAUUCACCUCAGUAUAGUACUUUUUUCUUGGUAAUUAAUAAUGUGUUGUUUAUACUCUUGACGCUUUUAAGUUUAUCUAGCCAUUAUCUACUUGUCUGCAACCUGAAUGUUUAAUGCAAGUACUUAGAGGGAGACAUGAUGCAUGUUUCUGUAUUAUGAUUCAGUAUUAUUAAUGUUUUAUUGACAUUCUAGCUUAACUUAAGGCUUUAUUUAAAUGUAAUGUCUGCACCAUUAACCAUCUUCUUUCACAUUCAUUAUGCCUGAAUGUUUAGUUUUGUACUCUAUAUGCAUUGGCAUGUGCAGGUCAUACCUUGGUUCCGAAAUCUUUAGGCUGUGACUUGAUACCUUUUGUUUUUGUUAUAUUUUUUUGUAUAAUGCCAAUCAGUUUGUGCGUGUACCCACAAACACCUGUUUCUGCUGGUCUGUUAAUGGUAUCCUCGUUAUUGAAUGUUUAUUAGCCUUUGGAUGUUUCUGUGUUAAGAGAUCAAGCUUUUUACUUUAGGACUUUCUGCAACAAGAUCUAACUCCCUGUGUGCUAGCCAUUUUUUCUUUUUGUGUUACCUAACUUGCCACUGGUCAAAUGUUUAGCAGGGGGUUGGGAUGGGUAUAUGAUAUAUUUGAUUCAUCUGAUCACAACUCAUACAUGCAUUUAUUUAUCUUGCUGCACUUUCUCUUGGUUGGAUAUUUCAUUCUCUGUAAACUUCAUUCUUUGCUGGCCUGUGUUUUUACUUAAGUCCUAAUUUCCCUCAAUUACAGAGUCUUUCUCAGUUCAAUCUCCCUGUAUCAAGUGCACACCUACUGGGAAAACCCACUGGCCCUGGAUCUCUACCUUCAGUCAGUGCAUCUUCAGCUGCAUUGAUGAAUAGCAAAGGCUUACAUGGAAAAACAAGCAAGUCUGCUGUCAAUGAUGAUGGUUUGGGCUUGAACGGUCCAUAUUCUGGUCCUGGUUAUCUGGGUGGAGCUGAUUUGUAUGACCCUGAUCAACCCCUGUGGAAUAAUAAUGGUCCCGAAACCUCAAAUGCACUUCUAGGCCUGCAAUCACCUAGGAAUGAUGAAACUGAAUCCUUGUCAAAUGAUGAUCCAUCUGAUCGUCAUCGUGCCAGGUUAGAUAGUGCUGAUAAUGAAUGCCCAAUUAGAAGCGUUGGGACAGCUGCCAAUUCACAGAGUACAAGCGUGUCCGUGUGGGGUAGAAUUGGCAGUUCAAAAAGUAAAUUAGAUGUGAAGGAGAAAAUUGAUCCUACAAAUAAUUCUUCAGAUUGUAUUGAGAGUGAAACUAAGGAAGGUAAGGAGGCAUUAGUCAGCAUUCAAAAUCCACCACGUCAAGGGAAGCGUAUCAUGGCAGAAGAUGGCCCAAAAGCCGUGGAUUCAUCACCCAAGACACAUUUUGAUCCUACACGUAACAUUCGGAAACCAUCUCAAAAAGCAUUGCGUACUCUAUUUGUCAAUGGCAUUCCCCAGAAGAGCAACAAAAGGGAGGCUCUUCUUUCUCAUUUCCAAAAGUUUGGAGAGGUCAUUGACAUUUAUAUUCCAUUGAAUAGUGAACGAGCUUUUGUCCAGUUUUCAAGGAGGGAAGAGGCUGAAGCUGCUUUAAAGGCACCUGAUGCUGUAAUGGGUAACCGCUUCAUCAGGUUGUGGUGGGCUAAUCGUGAUAGCAUUCCUGAUGAUGGCACAGGCACUGCCAGUAAUUUUCCUGGUUUAAUUCCACCCCAUCCAACGGUUACUAGUAUAAGCAAAGAUAAUCUUCAAUCUGCUGCUCCAAAGAGUAGUAUUGUCCAUACAUCUGAUGCUUUUCUACCUUCCGCUGAUAACUCCAAGCCUGUCAUCUCAAAUGGUCCCAAGGCCCCACCUUUGCAGAAAAAGCUAGAGAAUUUAGAGCAGUUAAAGGAGGAACUUCGCAAGAAACAGGAAAUGCUGGACCAGAAACGAAAUGACUUU